rnacentral:rRNA from 1 species
UAAGGAAUAUUGGUCAAUGGACGAGAGUCUGAACCAGCCAUGCCGCGUGCAGGAAGAAGGCGUUCUGCGUCGUAAACUGCUUUUAUAUAGGAAGAAAAAGUUCUUGCGAGAACCAUUGACGGUACUAUAUGAAUAAGCACCGGCUAACUACGUGCCAGCAGCCGCGGUAAUACGUAGGGUGCAAGCGUUGUCCGGAUUUAUUGGGUUUAAAGGGUGCGUAGGCGGACGAUUAAGUCUUGGGUGAAAUCCCACCGCUCAACGGUGGAACUGCCUGAGAAACUGGUUGUCUUGAGUAUAGUUGAGGUAGCUGGAAUUGGUGGUGUAGCGGUGAAAUGCAUAGAUACCACCAGGAACGUCAAUAGCGAAGGCAAGUUACUAAGCUAUAACUGACGCUGAUGCACGAAAGCGUGGGGAGCGAACAGGAUUAGAUACCCCCGUAGUCC